GGGAAUUUCAUGGAUACACAUCUUUCUGAUAGUUCAACUUCAAGAAUAUGUUCUUAUCUGAGUUCAAGUCAUAGUUCAAAUGUGAACAGCCAUACCGCGAUUCAGGCGAACAAUAUGAUGACAAGUCCUGAAACAUCUUUGUGGGAUUUCGACAAGAAAUUCGGUUCAAUGUUUCAAUUCCAGCUAAAAGAUGAAGAGAAUUCAAGUUCAUGGCAAGAAGGCACAAGCAGCUAUAUAUUCAAGAAUUCAAAAGAUUUCAGUAACUAGCCAUUGACAGCAAUAUCCCAAGAAUUGAUUCAGAUAAUUUAAACCUAGAUGUUUUCAACAGAAGUAAACUGUAAAUUAUUUUUUUACGCUCCACAAAUACAUACAAAUACACAGUGAUUUCAGUUAAAAAUCAUGGUUCUUGUUUAUUUUUGUAAUACAAGAUGAUAUUGCAUUUUGCUGAUUGUGUUGUUCUGAGAGUUUGAAAAAAAUAAUGUUUGUAUACACUUUUGAAAGAGUGAAAUGGUUUAAUUUAUGGCCGAAAUUCUUCCAUUGAGUAUAGAUAGC
rnacentral:lncRNA from 1 species